rnacentral:rRNA from 1 species
GCCUAUGGCCAUACGAGUCUGAAAGUUUCAGAUCUCUGAAGUCAUGCAGACUUGGGCCUGCUUAGUACUUGUAUGUGAGACUAACUAGGAACCUCAGGAGCCGUAAGCU